GGAUAGUAUAAAUAUUAUUGACAUCAAAUCAAGCCUGUUGAUUAUUCAGCAUCAUUCUUAUUGCUUCCAGACCACACACAGGGCCAAACAUCCAUACGACAGAAAUAUUGGCAAAAUUCAUUAAUAAAUGUUAAUAAAUGUUUUAACAGUUCCAUAUGAAGAAAAUGCUCAUUUAUACAUUUCACAUUUUCCUACUAUUUCUUUGAUUUAUAUUUUCGUUCCUAUCCCCACUACACCAAUCGAAGAUACUAAAUCAACGCAUACAAUUGUUGAGGUUAAGUUGUCUAUUGGACUCGCCAGUCUCCAGAUGGUGCAACCUGCAGGGUUGACAUUCUUCUAGAAGUCUUUAACGAGAAAAACUAAAGAACUAAAUGGAUUUAGGCAAAACAAUAAGUAGGUUUAACACCACAAUUAUGAACAAUAUGUAGGCUUAACACCACAAUAAUAAACAAUAUGUAGGCUUAACACCACAAUAAUAAACAAUAUGUAGGCUUAACACCACAAUAAUAAACAAUAUGUAGGUUUAACACCACAAUAAUAAACAAUAUGUAGGCUUAACACCACAAUAAUAAACAAUAUGUAGGCUUAACACCACAAUAAAACAAUAUGUAGGCUUAACACCACAAUAAUAAACAAUAUGUAGGCUUAACACCACAAUAAAACAAUAUGUAGGCUUAACACCACAAUAAUAAACAAUAUGUAGGUUUAAUACCACAAUAAUAAACAAUAAAUUGACUUGACAUAGGCAUAUGUUUCUAAUAUGCUUUUUGUUUGGAUGUCCUGGACAGUUUUUUUUCGCGCUACGGGUGCAAACCUCAUCUAGGCAAAACACCCACUGGGAAGGUGUCAUCAAAAAGUUGAGUUUAUGUUGUAAAAUUUAGUUCGGUGGUGGUCACGAAAUUUCCCAAAGCUCAUAGGCCCACAUUACGGAGAAUAUCAUGUGGUCAGCUGUUCAUUUUUCUUAGAGAUGUUAAUGACAUUUUCCUUGUAUUUACUUCAGUAUUUUCUAUGCGACACA
ensembl:lncRNA